AGAGUUCGAUCAUAUUCAGAUUGAACGCUGGCGGGAUACUUUACAUGCAAGUCGAACGGCAGCACGGGCGCCGGUCUGGUGAGUGGCGAACGGGUGAGGUAAUGUAUCGGAACGUGCCUAGUAGCGGGGGAUAACUACGCGAAAGCGUAGCUAAUGCCGCAUACGCCCUUCGGGGAAAGCGGGGGACCUUCGGGCCUCGCACUAUUAAACGGCCGAUAUCGGAUUAGCUAGUUGGUGGAGUAACGGCUCACCAAGGCGACGAUCCGUAGCUGGUUUGAGGACGACCAGCCACACUGGGACUGAGACACGGCUUGAACUCCUACGGGAGGCAGCAGUGGGGAAUUUUGGACAAUGGAAACCCUGAUCAGCCAUCCCGCGUGUGCGAUGAAGGCCUUCGGGUUGUAAAGCACUUUUGGCGGGAAAGAAACGGCACGGGAUAAUA
rnacentral:misc_RNA from 1 species